UGCGGAUGAUCCCAUCCUGCCUGCACAGCUUCUCCAGGGGAGAUAGACACACAGAAGCCCACGAGAGUCAAAUAAGAGCCGUACCUUCCAGGCGAGUCACAAACAAUUCAGCCUUCUGACAGUCAUAGUCCAGGCAGUAGUGGAGUUUGGGUGCCUGGUUCCAACUGGCAGCCUUCUCUGGGUUCCAGGUCUCCAUGACACAGACAUCCUCCACCACACCUGUUAAGAAAGUCGAAAUCGUCACUGCCACCCACACUGGGGUUCUGCUUUCCUGAUUACACCUUUCCCAUCUCUAUCACCUAUGCCAGGAGCCCAAACCCAAGUCUUCCCAGCUGUGUGCAGAAUCACAGUGGCCACACCAAGACAACAGGUGGGGUCAAUGUCACAGCCCAUUAGGCUGCAUCUGUGUCCACUGGCUCCCUCAUCAACCACACAAAACAAAACAGAGACUACACAACAAUCUA
rnacentral:lncRNA from 1 species